rnacentral:rRNA from 1 species
GACGAACGCUGGCGGCGUGCUUAACACAUGCAAGUCGAACGGGAAGGCCCUUCGGGGUACACGAGUGGCGAACGGGUGAGUAACACGUGGGUAAUCUGCCCUGCACAUCGGGAUAAGCCUGGGAAACUGGGUCUAAUACCGAAUAGGACCACAGGACACAUGUCCUGUGGUGGAAAGCUUUUGCGGUGUGGGAUGGGCCCGCGGCCUAUCAGCUUGUUGGUGGGGUGAUGGCCUACCAAGGCGACGACGGGUAGCCGGCCUGAGAGGGUGUCCGGCCACACUGGGACUGAGAUACGGCCCAGACUCCUACGGGAGGCAGCAGUGGGGAAUAUUGAACAAUGGGCGAAAGCCUGAUGCAGCGACGCCGCGUGGGGGAUGACGGCCUUCGGGUUGUAAACCUCUUUCACCAUCGACGAAGGUCCGGGUUUUCUCGGGCUGACGGUAGGUGGAGAAGAAGCACCGGCCAACUACGUG